GAUGAACGCUAGCGAUAGGCUUAACACAUGCAAGUCGAGGGGCAGCAUGAAAGUAGCUUGCUACUAUUGAUGGCGACCGGCGCACGGGUGCGUAACACGUAUGCAACUUACCCAUAAAACAGGGAUAACCCGGAGAAAUUCGGACUAAUACUUGAAGGUAUUGUUUUGAGGCAUCUAGACAUAAUUAACGCUUUAUCGAUUAAGGAUAGGCAUGCGCAUGAUUAGCUAGUUGGUGAGGUAACGGCACAACAAGGCGACGAUCAUUAGGGGUUCUGAGAGGAAGGUCCCCCACACUGGUACUGAGACACGGACCAGACUCCUACGGGAGGCAGCAGUGAGGAAUAUUGGUCAAUGGACGCGAAUCUGAACCAACCAAGUCGCGUGAAGGAAGACUGCCCUAAGGGUUGUAAACUUCUUUUGUAUGGGAAUAAAAAAUGGGACUUGUACGAUAUUGUAUGUACCAUACGAAUAAGGAUCGGCUAACUCCGUGCCAGCCGCCGCAGUAACAC
rnacentral:rRNA from 1 species